rnacentral:rRNA from 1 species
AGAGUUUGAUCCUGGCUCAGAACGAACGCUGGCGGCGUGCUUAACACAUGCAAGUCGAGCGCGAAAGUUCUCCUUCGGGAGAGCGAGUAGAGCGGCAGACGGGUGAGUAACACGUGGGCAACCUAUCCGAAGGCGGGGAAUAACCACUCGAAAGGGUGGCUAAUACCGCAUACGGCUAUGGAUUUUCGGAUCCAUAGUCAAAGGCUUCGGCCACCUUCGGAGGGGCCCGCGGUCGAUUAGCUAGUUGGUGGGGUAAUGGCCUACCAAGGCGACGAUCGAUAGCUGGUCUGAGAGGAUGAUCAGCCACACUGGUACUUAGACACGGACCAGACUCCUACGGGAGGCAGCAGUGGGGAAUAUUGCGCAAUGGACGAAAGUCUGACGCAGCAACGCCGCGUGGGUGAAGAAGGCUUUGGGGUCGUAAAACCCUGUCAGAUGGGAAGAACCAUGCCCUUCGGGGCAUCUGACGGUACCAUCAAAGGAAGCACCGGCUAACUCCGUGCCAGCAGCCGCGGUAAUACGGAGGGUGCAAGCGUUGUUCGGAAUCACUGGGCGUAAAGGGCGCGUAGGCGGAUUGUCAAGUCUGAUGUGAAAGCCCGGGGCUCAACCCCGGAAGUGCAUUGGGAACUGGCAAUCUUGAGUUCGGGAGAGGAAGGCAGAAUUCCUGGUGUAGGGGUGAAAUCCGUAGAUAUCAGGAGGAAAAUCAGUGGCGAAGGCGGCCUUCUGGAACGUAACUGACGCUGAGGCGCGAAAGCGUGGGGAGCAAACAGGAUUAGAGACCCUGGUAGUCCACGCCGUAAACGAUGGAUGCUAGGUGUAGGGCUCAUUGACGAGCUCUGUGCCGCAGCUAACGCGAUAAGCAUCCCGCCUGGGGAGUACGGUCGCAAGACUAAAACUCAAAGGAAUUGACGGGGGCCUGCACAAGCGGUGGAGUAUGUGGUUUAAUUCGACACAACGCGCAGAACCUUACCUGGGUUUGACAUCCUGUGAUUGCCAUAGAGAUAUGGAGUCCUCUUCGGAGGCACAGUGACAGGUGCUGCAUGGCUGUCGUCAGCUCGUGUCGUGAGAUGUUGGGUUAAGUCCCGCAACGAGCGCAACCCCUGUCCCAUGUUGCCAUCACAUAAUGGUGGGCACUCUUGGGAUACUGCUGGUGUCAAACCGGAGGAAGGUGGGGAUGACGUCAAGUCCUCAUGGCCCUUAUGCCCAGGGCUACACACGUACUACAAUGGCCGGUACAAAGAGACGCUAACCCGCGAGGGGGCGCAAAUCUCAAAAAGCCGGUCUCAGUUCGGAUUGGAGUCUGCAACUCGACUCCAUGAAGGCGGAAUCGCUAGUAAUCGCGGAUCAGCAUGCCGCGGUGAAUCCGUUCCCGGGCCUUGUACACACCGCCCGUCACACCAUGAGAGUCGCUUGUACCAGAAGUGCGUAGGCCAACCCGCAAGGGAGGCAGCGUACCAAGGUAUGGGUGGUAAUUAGGGUGAAGUCGUAACAAGGUA